rnacentral:rRNA from 1 species
AGAGUUUGAUCUUGGCUCAGGACGAACGCUGGCGGCGUGCGUAAUACAUGCAAGUAGAACGCUGAAGAGAGGAGCUUGCUCUUUCUUUGGAUGAGUUGCGAACGGGUGAGUAACGCGUAGGUAACCUGCCUUGUAGCGGGGGAUAACUAUUGGAAACGAUAGCUAAUACCGCAUAACAAUGGAUGACACAUGUCAUUUAUUUGAAAGGGGCAAUUGCUCCACUACAAGAUGGACCUGCGUUGUAUUAGCUAGUAGGUGAGGUAAUGGCUCACCUAGGCGACGAUACAUAGCCGACCUGAGAGGGUGAUCGGCCACACUGGGACUGAGACACGGCCCAGACUCCUACGGGAGGCAGCAGUAGGGAAUCUUCGGCAAUGGGGGCAACCCUGACCGAGCAACGCCGCGUGAGUGAAGAAGGUUUUCGGAUCGUAAAGCUCUGUUGUAAGUCAAGAACGGGUGUGAGAGUGGAAAGUUCACACUGUGACGGUAGCUUACCAGAAAGGGACGGCUUAACUACGUGCCAGCAGCCGCGGUAAUACCGUAGGUCCCGAGCGUUGUCCGGAUUUAUUGGGCGUAAAGCGAGCGCAGGCGGUUUGAUAAGUCUGAAGUUAAAGGCUGUGGCUCAACCAUAGUUCGCUUUGGAAACUGUCAAACUUGAGUGCAGAAGGGGAGAGUGGAAUUCCAUGUGUAGCGGUGAAAUGCGUAGAUAUAUGGAGGAACACCGGUGGCGAAAGCGGCUCUCUGGUCUGUAACUGACGCUGAGGCUCGAAAGCGUGGGGAGCGAACAGGAUUAGAUACCCUGGUAGUCCACGCCGUAAACGAUGAGUGCUAGGUGUUGGAUCCUUUCCGGGAUUCAGUGCCGCAGCU